GAACUUAGGGUGAAGUUCUUAAUAGAUGUGGUGGGAACAGAUAUGAGAAAUACUGUAAAUUGUGAGUCUAUAAGCUACUGCGGCCCUGGGUUCAUGGAUUAUGCAAAUUACUCAUAAAUAACAUGCUGACUCCCCUUCUGGUCUUGAGAGCAUCCUUAAAAUCUGUCCAGUACCAACUCUAAUUGUCUGUUCUCUUGUGUUUCAAUUCGAUGUACUUCCCUUUGGUUGCCCAGUAACAUACCACGGAGAAGCAAUUUGAAAAAUGGAGCCAUAGUGCUCAGAAACAUUAAUCCCACUCUUAUGAGGAACAGUUUGCUCUCAGGGUGUGGUUUUUUUUCAUCAUCAGCUCAGGACCAUUGAGAUAGAAGCAUAGCAAGUAUAUCUAUUAAAUUCUUAUCCAUGGGUCAGGAUAUUAAAAUGUCAUGUAAUUGUAAACCCUGUUUAGAAAUAUUAAUAACUAUUGCAUUGAAAACCAACCUAGUAGUAAAUGAGAAAACAGCAAGCCAGGAGGGUUUGUAUAAUUUUACUCAAUCUAUGUUCUACCCAAUUUACCAGACAAAAAAUAAAUUAUGUUUGGAAACCAGUCAUGCAGUAUUUCUGGCCACUUUUCAUGAAAAUGGAUUAUCUGUCACAGUAUUCUGAGGCUUUAACCCCAUGCGAUAUUUUAGGACAGAGCUCUGAGCCAGGCUUACACAGGCAUUAGCAAGCCAGGCAUGACUUAAGAGGUUCCAAGGGCUGACCAUCCCAAAAUAUUAACUCUAUCCACAGUCUUCUUGUUGGUUCUGAAGGUAGGAUUUAUUCCCUAAAUGUCUUCUGGAGUUGAAAGCUCUUUUGUGUUUGCUGUUUGCAUAUUGAUAAUUUGUUCUUUUUUGUUAUCAGUGAGGGAUAUCCAGUGUACAAAUCAGGAGAGAGUAUUUUCUGAUUGCCACUUGCUGUUCUCGCCAAUGACAUUGCUACCUGGGAGAGUAGUAAUAGUAGCAGUGGGGGUUGUUAUUGUUGCUUGAACUGAAAUAUAACUUGCAUGAAGUGAAGCAGUGUUCAGUGUUCAGCUCAGUAAAUUUUUAUAUGUAUAUGUAACCAAGUAACCACCACACUGAGGCUCUUUCCUUUCCCUUCCCAGUCAAUACACAGCUCUGUCUCUCCCCACACACACACCAAAUGGACUUUUUUUUUUUUUAACUGUUAUUUCCCCAAUACAAUUUUUUUUUCUACUGUACAGCAUGGUGACCAGUUACACAUAUAUGUACAUAUUCUAUUUUCUCACAUUAUCAUGCUCCAUCAUGAGUGCCUAGACAUGGUUCCGAGUGCUACACAGCAGGAUCUCAUUGCUAAUCUAUUCCAGAGGCAAUAGUUUGUAUCUAUUAACCCCAAGCUCCUCAAUUAUCCCACCCUCUCCCCCUUGGCAACCACGAGUCUAUUGUCUGAGUCCAUGAUUUUCUUUUCUGUGGAAGGGUUCAUUUGUGCUGUAUAUUAGAUGCCAGAUAUAAGUGAUAUCAUAUGGUAUUUGUCUUUCUCUUUCUGACUUACUUCACUCAGUAUGAGAGUCUUUAGUUUCAUCCAUGUUGCUGCAAAUGGCAUUAUUUAGUUCUUUUUUAUGCCUGAAUAGUAUUACAUUGUGUAUAUAUACCACAUCUUCCUAAUCCAAUUGUCUGUCAAUGGACAUUUGGGUUGGUUCCAUGUCUUGGCUAUUGUGAAUAGAGCUGCAAUGAACAUGUAGGUGCAUGUGUCUUUUUUAAGGAAAGUUUUGUCUGGAUAUAUGCCCAAGAGUGGUAUUUAUGGGUCAUAUGGUUCUAUGUUCUAUGUAUAGAUUUCUAAGGUACCUCCAUGCUGUUCUCCAUAGUGGUUGUACCAAUUUACAUUCCCACCAACAGUGCAGGAGGGUUCCCUUUUCUCUACACCCUCUCUAGCAUUUGUUAUUUGUGGACUUGUUAAUGAUGGCCAUUCUAACUGGUGUUAGGUGGUAUCUCGUGGUAGUUUUGAUUUGCAUUUAUCUAACAAUAAGGGAUGUUUAGCAUUUGUUCAUGUGCUUGUUGGCCAUCUGUACAUCUUCCUUGGAGAAAUGUCUAUUCAGGUCUUUUGCCCAUUUUUCCAUUGGGUAGUUGGCUUUUUUGCUGUUGAGUUGUAUAAGUUGCUUGUAUAUUCUAGAGAUUAAGCCUGUUUAAAAAACAGAAUCAUUCAGUUUGUUAUUUUUGGUGUCUGGCUUUUUCAACUUCACAUUUUAUGUGUCUAUUUAUUUAUUUAUUUAUUUUUGGUCUUUUUGCUAUUUCUUGGGCCGCUCCCGCGGCAUAUGGAGAUUCCCAGGCUAGGGGUCCAAUCGGAGCUGUAGCCACUGGCCUACGUCAGGGCCACAGCAACACAGGAUCUGAGCCGCGUCUGCAACCCACACCACAGCUCACGGCAACGCCGGAUUGUUAACCCACUGAGCAAGGGCAGGGAUCGAAUCCGCAACCUCAUGGUUCCCAGUCAGAUUCGUUAACCACUGUGCCACGACGGGAACUCCAGGUCUAUUUAUUGAUGAUUUUUGUACAUGUAUCUUGGUGGACAUAGGCACAUAUUUCUAUUACAUAUAUAUAUAUACCAAAAAGUGGAAUUUCCAGAUCGUAGGGUACACAUAGGUUUACCUUCAGUAGAAAAUGCCUAAAUGCUUUCCUGGGAGGGUAGUUUUUUGUUUUUUGUCUUUUUGCCAUUUCUUAGGGAGGGUAGUUUUGAUGGGAGGUGUAUUGGUGGUUCUCUGUUUGCCCCUCUAGAUUAAUUUUCUGUUUUUCUCUGUCAUACUCUGUGCCCUGAAUUACCCUAAUUUCCAGUUUCCUUAUAUUUUAGUUCCUGGUUGGAUUUAGCCAGUGGAAACCCCAGCAACUGACUGGAGAAUGGGGUGGGGGGAGAGAGAAAGAGAGAGAUCAAAGUAUUUAUUCAUUCUGUUGUCUCCCUGCUUUACCAUCAUGGAAAGAGAGGUUCCAUUCUUCUGGAGACAUAGCUCCUGUUGGACAGUCCAACCGGUUAUUCUUCUUUGCCUUUUUUAGGCUCAGCAGGUAGUUAUGGAUGCCCAUUCUUGCUAGUACCUGGGUACUUAUUUUCCAUCUAGCAUGACACUCUUAGCCCUACUCACAUUCCUGAAAAAAAAAUUUAUUCUAUAAAAAUAUAAAGCCUUUGAGAAUGCUAUUUUUUUUGUGUGUAAGAAUUUUGACUGAUAUAGGAGGAAAAAAAGGUUUUGCAAGAGGUCAGAAUGUGUUGGAACACAUAGGUGCUUCUGCUAAGCAUGAGAAAAUUAGCACAGGAAAACAGACUGUUCUGAAAGUAGUUAUUUAGGGGAAUUUAAGUUAACAAAUAUGUUGGGUGUGAACCAGAACUCUGAGCAACAUAAAGAUGAGCUCCUCAUUCUUAACUAGUUUUGUGGACCAGUAGACCUUGAUGACUGCUGCCCAUGACUCUACUAAACCCCAGUCGUCUUCUCUAAGUGGCAAUUAUACCCGUUUCCGGCUGACCAGUAGCUCAACCACUACCACCCCUCCGGAGCAGUCAGAUAGUGACGAUAAUCAAGGAAACCACACACCAAAGGGGACACAGAAGUUCUGUGAUUUCAUUAAAGGAAUUCAUUCAGCAGCGGUAGGGUUACUGAUGUGGCAUUUUUGAACUACUCAGAAUCUUGGAGGUAAGGUCCCCAACAUCCUCUAACUUUAGAGCAGCUCCAGCCAUUCACCAAGGAUGGAGACACUUGCUUCUGGGCUGGCAGUCUAGCACAGUGGUUACGACAAAGCAGAGUUUGGGAGCCAGUUUUGAGUAGGAAUCUAGACUUUGUCUCUUAUUGGCUCUAUACCCUUCAGCUGGCAGUGAACAUUCCUCAGUUCCCUCCACUGUAAAAUGAGGAUAAUCAUUCUCAUACCUUUCAUAGUAACUAUUAUUAAUGCAUUCUUUCACAUUUGAAAAGGUACGUAAACGUCCUUAUGAAGAUGGUCUUGUGACCUCCAGCUAAGUGCUGCUAAAAGCUGUCAGGACGUACGAAGCUGGAGUAGAGCUGGCGUCACAGUGCCGUGAGGGAAUGGUGAGCGUGGGCACAGCGGGGCCAGCGAGGGGAUGUGAGGGAAGAUUAAGAUGCCGAAGUGGAAUAGACAAAGUCUAGGAAGGGUGGUGCUGGGGACCAACGUGUGAUUCUGGAAUUAUCGUCUAAUUCUGGGAUAGAAGAUUAGAAUCUGCCUUGUCUAAGCAGAAGAAAUCCGAGAGGCAGACCACUACAGUGCCUACACUGGACUUGCCUGCAGGGAUGUGUGGCGGGUUUUGUUUUUUUGACAAUAGUCAUUUGAAUAAGUAAUCUUUUUGCAAGUCUAGCACUCUAUUCCUAUCAUCUUCAUUUUGUUCAUUUUAGGGACAGAAAGUCAAGGUUAAUGUGUGUGUGUGUGUGACGUAUUUUACAGCAAGGACUGACUUAAUUAGCCAGAAUAGAAGCAAGGAUAAACAAAGGGAUUUCUGAGAAAACAAAUUCCAGUUUGUCUGUGGGCAUGCAUGCCCAAGCCAAAGAGAUUUGAAGGCAGCUAAGGCUUUGGGCAGAUUCUAAUAGUACUGAAGGGUGAGGAAAUAGACAAGGAAGCAAACAAUGAGAUUCUGGCAUCCUGCUGGUGAUUCAGAAAAUUCUGAUUCAAAAACAAGAAUUAUUUUCAAAGGUCUUUUGACAGAGCCGACAGCUUCUCAGCUGUCAGCCACUCUCCAGAGACCCUAAUGAGCUCUUCCUUGUCAGGCCUUUCUGUCUAAACAAGAAAUUGCUAGUUUUCUAUCUGCCACCCUGCAGCGAAUGCACCCACCCUUGCUUUGCAUAGUAUAAAUUAUUAUUUAAUGCAAACACUUGUUCGGGUUGUUCAGUAGGUUGUUUCUGUCAACCUACAUCAAUGUGGUCUUUAAUGUGUCAAUGACUCCGCAGCAGAGUCUGUAUAUAAGCAGGUGGUCAGAAAGCUUUUCUAUUGAGAAACUAAUAGGUACUUCUGAGGAAGGCGCUACAACUAUCUCUAGGACUCAAGAUUCCUGAAUUUCUUUAGAUGGUCAAAAUACUUUACCUUAUUUCCCAUAAUAAUAGCAAAUCCUAAUUAGGGGCAAUAAAGAUGACAUCCUAGAGAAAGAAUCCUUCUUGAAAUACGUUUACUAGAUCUCAUUGCUCCUCUUCCACUCCAUUCAAGAUCCUUGCCCAACUCUAAAUAAAGAGCUUGCCAUUCCACUUUUAGAAAUCGGAAAGCUUUUUUUAAAGAAUUGGCUUCUGUUAUUAGAUAACACAAACAGCACUAUUUUCUACAAUAUUUUUUUGCUAAUUGCUUCAUGUUCUUUUGAAAAAAAAAAAAUUUCACUAGCUUUUCUUCUCUCCUUCAUGUUAAAUGGUGUUUUUCAGUCUUUAGUUUAAAUGUGCUUCCUUACUAUAGCAUGGAUGGUCACGAGCAUGCACCUUGGAGUAAUUCAGACCUGGGUUCCAGUUCUGGCCAAAUUCUUCUUGGUUCUCCUUUCUUACAUUCUCUGUCCUCUGAUGCAUCAUCACUGUGUUUGGAAUUAACUCCCACUCUACCCUGCUUUGACAUUUCCUUUUCUUUGAUUAAAAUCCAUUCAAACACUUCAAUUUUCACAGCAAAUUUGCUUUAUAUAUUUGAGAAAAAGAGAAACUACCCAUUUCAUUAAAAAAAAGAUGAGGGAGUUCCCACUUUGGCUCAGCAGUAAUGGACCCAACUAGUAUCCACGAUGAUGCGGAUUCAAGCCCUGGCCUCACUCAAUGGGUUAAGGAUCCAGCAUUGCCCUGAGCUGUGGUGCAGGUCAAAGACACAGCUCAGAUCCUGCAUUGCAGUGUCUGUGGUGUAGGCCAGCAUCUGUAGCUCCGAUGUGACCCCUAGCUUGGGAACUUCCAUA
rnacentral:lncRNA from 1 species